rnacentral:rRNA from 1 species
UACGGAGGGUGCAAGCGUUAUCCGGAUUUACUGGGUUUAAAGGGUGCGUAGGUGGGUCUGUAAGUCAGUGGUGAAAUCUCCGGGCUUAACCCGGAAACUGCCAUUGAUACUAUAGAUCUUGAAUAUCCUGGAGGUGAGCGGAAUAUGUCAUGUAGCGGUGAAAUGCUUAGAUAUGACAUAGAACACCAAUUGCGAAGGCAGCUCACUACGGGAUCAUUGACACUGAGGCACGAAAGCGGGGGAUCAAACAGG